rnacentral:lncRNA from 1 species
UUUUAUAUCAUGACUUCCUCCUUCAACAGCAUUGUUCUCAAUCUAGGUGAGGUCCCAAACUUUCUUAGUAAGGAAUAAAUAACAUGAUAUAAAACUACAAAGAUAGGGCAUAAUUUGGAUGAACCACAAAGCAAAAAACAGAAACCGUGCUCUUAUCAUGUUUACUAUCUUCAACUUUGUUUUGAAACGAGGACCAUUAUCAAAAAGAAUGAUGAGCAGGAAAAGGACCUGACUUUGCUUUGUUCAUCUUCAAGUGAGGGUGAAGAGAAGGAAAGGGCCAUACAAUCGAAAGUUGUGCAAACAAACAAUGGGAAAUUGCAUCGUGGUUCUACUUUUCAUAUAGUACAGGAUCUCCGUCAGUAAUCAGCUUCACAGUUUCCACAAAAGACAUAGGUGGCUGCUGCACCGCAAAGAAUAAGAAAUCCCUACCUCUAGAGCAUAAGAAUCCGCUAGCAACAAGGCAGGGCCUAGGGCUAAUGCUAUGUAAGUAGCAUGCCAUUCAACAUACAUAAAUCUUCCAAAAUAAAAUUUUCUUUUAUUUGACCUAACAAGCGUAUAGACUAUAGAGUAAUGCAACUUAAGCUUCCUAAUAGAGGGUGUUGAAAAAUCAUUAACAUAUCUAUUUCUAAAAAAUAGUAAAGCUCAAUAUAUUGGUUGAAGCAGUGUCAACAUAUUAGAAUAGAACAGACCUUUUAGAAGAAUCACAGAGAUAUUUUAAGGGUACUUAAAUCAUGUUAAGCUCAAGCUUACCAAGUUCAUAGCAAGAUGUAUUACAUAAAUGGUUCACAGGGCUCCUGUUACUCCUUGUGGAGCAUAAAGGAUUCCUUCCAACAUCUGCACCAACAGAUGAAUCAAUGGAAAGGAGCACUGUAUCCAAGCCAAUCAUAAUGCUCAGUGAUGCCAUAAAAACAUCUCAAACAAGCUUCUAGCACUUCUAUAUCAUGAUAAAUGAAAACCAUCAUGGUAUGUCCCUUUCAGCACAAAACAUCACGGUAUUCCUUGUAAGUCGAAGGUAACUAAGGAGAUUUUAGAAACCAUAUGAACAAAAGCUUUAUAAGGUUAAACCCUGGAAGCACACUCUUAAAGCCUCUACGGUAGUAUCAGGCCUACUCAUUGAAAUGUCAUCAACGAUUUUGCCAAUGGUAGACAUUCAGCCUUAAAUCUCCCAGACAGCUGUUGCACACAUACAGAAUCGAAAGGUAAAAAUUACAUCAACCACCAACUCGAUGCUUCAAGCAUUUGGACGGUUGACAGAAAAUGAGCAUUCUUAACAAACUACUGAAGUGACAUUACAAUUCAAACAUCAUAACCUCUACUGUCCAGAGUCACUUAUAACUGGUUUUCUUUCCACUGCAUCUGCAGGUUUGGGUUCGAUAAGACUCCAACGCUAUUACUUCUACCCAACAACUGUGUUUCCUAACCGUAAGAUGCCACCCUCUGUUCAAACUGUAGAGCAAUAAUCCUAUCAUGCAUUGAGCAACAUCCACCAUUUGCUACCUCAAGUAGGUUAGUACACGCUUCCAAGAGACGGUAGUUAUGUUCACUAGUUCAGCAUUACUAGAUCAAGUAUAUCAUUUCCAGCCUAAAGUCGAAUUUGUGAAGGCAUGAACAACUUCACAACAGGACAUUCGUUUUUCAGAUCAAUGUCUACACACAGAAAUGCAUUUGCAUGCACUUAGUUCAUCACUGGUUGUUUUUCUGAAAUAGAACAGCAUCAUUUUUCAUGAGACAUGCCUGGUAUCAUGAGUUUCAGGGGCCUCCAAGAUUUAGGUAUAUUGGAAGUCUAUUCCCUUAACACGCAAAUAUUGAUGUUCUUUAUAAAUUUCUAGCUGAAGGGUAGGUUCCCUCAAUGUUCAUGAAAAAAUUAGUAUUCACCAGCACACUUUUUUUUUCUUUUUGCCCAUAAGCACACACAGAGUUGAUUAGGAAAAUUAGCCACAACAUCUAGGGUUGAUUUCUGACCCAUGUACUUCUGUGUGGUGAAUUAAUGUUUUACUCUCAAGCUUAAAAAGUUGCAUGUCAACAUUCACGGUCAGGUACAAAAUUGAAAAGACAACUUACAGACAAACGAGAGGGAGAAAGGCAUCGAUAUGCAAAUCUCAAAAGAUGCCAAUCCAGCACAUAGACCUAAAGUUGCAUGAAAAUUCUGGAAAUUAGGGAUAAUGCAUUGCAAUAUAAAUAGACACAGAUGAUAUCUAUUUAUCUACAAAUAUCAUGAAAGGAACAUAUGUUCUGCUCAGAAUGCACCAAGGUUGACCACACUCUUAAGCAUAAAAAACUGGAAGGAGUGUGACUUCAACAACUUGUAAGGACAGAUAACUUUCUGACCCUUUGAGAAAUAAAUUCCCCCCAAAUAACAUUUGAAGAUGUCUCCAAUAAGCUAUCCAUAUCAAUUUCAUGUUCUUAGUCCCCUUUGGUCCAUUGCUCUCCCUGUGAUGUAAGCAUCAUGAAAGUAAAAACCUAUAUUAUUUUUCAAGAGCCACUCUAUAAGCUAGUACAUGCUAACAACCUUUUUGACCAUUUUUAAUUAUCAACAGAUAAAUGGAAUGCAAUUACCAAUAAUUACAACAAAUCCCCUCCAGCCACGCAAAAGAAAGAGCCCUUACCUUCUAAAGAAACAAUGCUAUGAAAGACUUGAAUGGAAAACCAACAAUAUCCCUUUCUUUAGGGGCUCAUUGCAUGGACCUUAGCAACUGGGGCAAAGCCAUUGUCUAAUCCCAACAUCAAGUGUAGAGUAUCAAGUUCUUUACAAUGUAAUAAUGUUAUCAAGUUCUUUACAAUGUAAUAAUCCUAUGUGUAGUGCCUUAAUGCUAGACAAUAAGAGUGUUUUGGACUCCUUUGGGUGAGGUGCAUUUGACGAAGUGUGCGCCUGGUGCAUCUAGGCAAGCUUUUUCGUAACACAAUAGGCGUAAAAAAAGGCCCACCUGAUUGAAAUUCUCUUUUAAUUUAUUUUGUUCGUAACAGUUUUUGAUUACCUUUGCCUUUAUAAUAUGUGCCAAAUAGCAAAGUAUGUACUAGGAUCCCAAAUAGGAAAAUAUGGGAUUUCAUUAUGGGGCUUAUAUAGAUGUAAGCUCUCCAGACUCAAUAGCUUGCUUUUCAAGUUCGAUUACCCAAAGGUUCAUAUCAAUUGGUAUCAAAAUCAGCCAUAACAAGGGUGGUGAUGUGGCAAUGAUAUCAAGGACGAAACUCUUAAGCAUUAAAUCCCUUAUAUUGUCUCAGGCACAAGCCACAAAAAUCUCGCUAGCCCAAGUUAAGUGUGCAAUAGGCAUAUAUGUGAGAUUUUGUGUAUUAAGUAAAGCUUAAGACAUAUACCAAACUCUAAAGUGUGGUUUCAUCUAUCUCUAAAACAUGCAAUUUUUUUAUUGGUCAUUUUUUGGUCCGUACCAAUAUUUGAAUACUCAAAUAUUGAAAAAUAUGAAGUUAGAUACUAUUCAUUUCUUGUUAGUAAAAGAUAUAACUAAUUAAAAAAGUGAGAAACAAAAGAAAUUAGAGAGAACCUCAACCAAGUGAGUUUUUAUGCCUAUCUUAGCACCUUACAAGAAACGUGCCUAAGUGCACAAGGCAAUUGAGCCGCACCAAAAAAGGCUCGAUGUCGACAUUGUUGUUGUCUGGACAUCCAAAUUGGUGAGCACGAUUACUAAUAUGUGCCCAUAUGCAAGUCACUAGACUAGGAUGCCACAUAAAAAAGUAUCUUGCAUUUUAUAUGGACCUAGGUCUCCAAACUCAACAGUUAGCUUUUGAGGUAUGGUUCUUCAAAGGUCCAUAUGACUUUACUAGUAAGAAAGGAGAUAGGUAGGUACCUUAAAAAAAAAUUGAAUCAUAAGGAAUACAUGACAUUUGGCCCAACAAAGGAAAGUUUGCAUGUUUUGUAGAUAAACAAAACCACUCUAAAGUUAUAAUCGUAAUAAUACAACACAAAAACAAGUGUAAAUAUUGUCCCUUCAUACAGCCAACCACUUUUAUGAUACCUCAGGCAAAUAUAAGGAUUUAUUACUUUGAGUUCACCAUACAACCAUGAAAAUAUUAUAUUCUAACAAGCUUAAUCUUAAGGACAUGACUUGUAAAAUAUCAACUCUAUUUGAAAGCAAUUUUUUAGUAAUAAACCACCAUACAUUGACAAUAUCCAAAAAAUAUAACUCAUCUCAAUAUCAAUAGUUACAUUUAAAAGAAAACUCUACUAGCACUACAACAAAAAUAUGCACUCCAUCUAAUUGCAAUCUAAAGAACCAAGUAGUUUGAGGAUAUCAUAAAUUGUUUCUUUAGCACACCAUUUGGUAAGAAGAUUAAAAAGGAGAAAGGAAUAGAAAGGAUCUAAGCUCUAAUGGUUAAGCUACAAAAUAGCAUGUAUGAUUAUUAAAUGGUGUUAUCCAACUUUAAAAUAUUAAUUGAUUUUUAAGUUAUAUGCUUAAUAUGAUAUUAGAACUCAAGUUUUAUCAUGUUAUCCUUUGUAGCUAACACCAUGUGCGAUAGUUGACCUCUGAUGAGGUUUUCCAUGUGCAAGCCCUAAGAGCUACAUGUGAAAGGGAACAUUAAGUGAUAUUAUCCCAAAUCUAUUAAGUAUAAAGUCUUAUAUCAAAUUUAGGUCCUUUCCACCUAUCACUAAUUUGUUUUGGGUUCAAAAAGCGUUUUCUUCAGGAAGAGGAAAAAACGGUAGAAAGGUGGAAUGAAAUGAUUAAGGGGGAAAAUAAGAGCAUUUGAGUCUUUUCAUUCUCUCAAAAUCCAAUCCUAGAAACCACUAAUUCAAUUAGAUAAUAAUAUUAAAAAAUUUUCAAAAAGAAUCUACCAUGUGACAAAUCCUUCCAUUAUCAUCUCUUCUAUUCCUUUUUCUCCCUUCCAUAAAAUCUUCCUGCAGAACACAAAGUUAGAUAGACAUUGGUUUUGUUAAGCAUCCUUGCAUAAAAAAAAUUGGUGAUAAUUGAAAAGCGAGCGCCUUUAAUAAACAUCAUUGUCAACCCAAGCCUAAUAGAUGUGUGGGGGUAACACCACAUAAGACUCCCUCUCACAUUUAGCUCAACAAAACCUACACUGAGCAUCAUGAUGAAGGUCAUUAACAUCACAUGGGGUAGAAAAGAGUAACACAACAUAACCUGAGCUUUGAUACCCUGUUAAGCAUUCAAAAUAAAAUGAUAGGUUGAAGAAAACAACUUCAUAUUAAGACAGUAAUAAAGCAAGAAAGAAGAAUCUAGCUCAAACUAUAGAGAGAGCCUUUUAACACAAUAUGUGAAAUAUCAGAUGCUAGAUUAAGCUUGUAGAUAGAUUCAAUUUGAGCAAUAAAUCACUUUGAUUCACUCCAAUCACAAAAUAUGUGAACUCAACAAGGUGAGUUGAGGCAAAGUAACUAAAAGGUACUCAUAAGUAGUUGACAUUAUAUUGUCAUUGAAUAGAGACUAAUCACCCAAGUUCUUCGACAUGUACUUCAAUUUUAGAUCACUUGAUAUUAGUUUAAUACAAAAGACUUCACAUUCAAAAGUUUCACUCUUACUUAAUAAUUGCUUUUGUACUUUAUAGUUUUGGCAAAGGGAGGUAGCAAGCUUGAGGCAGCAACUACAGUACUUGCAAGAAUACCACAGGUACUAAAGGCCUCCAUUUCAUCACACUAAAGCUUUCUUUAAGAAUCUUUAGACUUGUGAAUUUAAUGCAAGGAAUUUGUAAUUUCUAUCUACCAAGAAAAAAAAUCAUGCCUCAAUUUUUUUUGUAGUAACAAAUGCAUUAACUACAUUAUUUCCAAAACUAAGUUUUGGAGAAUAACAAUUAUAUUUGUCCAUGUUAAUGGGAAAAGUACCAAGGAAAAACAAGAUGGAUCCAAGAUUUAUGUUUAAAGGUGGCAAAUUAAUAUAUAUAAUAUUUCUACUUAAAUAUAAUUCACUAAAAAUGUUCUUUGUAGCUUUUUUUAGUUUGGAAGCCUAAUGAAAUGUUUAAUUGUCAAUGCUAAAUUAUGUUUUUUCUACAUGUAUAUAACCACACAAUCAAUCACUCUAGAAUCUCCCCUCAAAAUCAACAUUUUUCUUCAAAACAUUCUUUGGUUAAUUUCUAUAUCAAAUUAUUUUGUACAUAAAGAAGAAAAUGGUGCUCCAACCCCUUGUUUCUUUGGCAAUUCUUUCAUAAAGUCAAUUGUCAAUGCUCUUUACUUGAUUCGUUCCUCUUUUAUCUUUAUUACCUGUUGCUUCAUCAUUUACUUUUGUUGUGUUUCAUAUUAUUUCUUUGGAUAGAAAGCCAAAUGAGGUAGAAGACAACUUUUUGACCCACUUUUUGUUGCUUUGUAGAUUUUCAAAGCUUUAAAGAGUCUAAUCUCAUUAAACUCAAAUUUCAUUUAAAAUUCCAUCUCAUAACCUACUAUAUUUCAGUCAUGUUUUAUUGUAAUAGUAA